UGCCCAGCAACUCCUAUCCCUACCACCUCGCGGUACUGGCCGGGGUACGAGUAACCUAAGGGAAGAUCGGGUAACCAACCCCCGGUGGGAACUUUGGUCGUAUGCUGACAGGGAAGG
rnacentral:ribozyme from 1 species